rnacentral:rRNA from 1 species
GCUACGUGCCUUGCACUCUUGUUGGGUUGAGGCUUCUUCUUUUGCUCUCUGUGGUCGCGAAGCAAGACCGUUCCGUAGGUGAACCUGCGGAAGGAUCAUUA